CUCAAAGAAACGCCUCAAAAAAAUGCGAAGGCUGUGGUAAAUGCUAUGAAAAGGCCGAUAGCUUGAGAAUCCAUAGAAAAUAUGACUGUAAAAUGUUAGAAAAAACUGCACCGUUGUACCAAUGUGACCAUUGCAAUUAUCAGUCUGGACGAAAGUAUCAAGUUAAAAUACAUGUGUUGAAAAAACAUUCUGAGGGGUAUGAUCAGUCAGGUCUUAGAAUGACCUUGUGAAUCUUAUCUUCAGCGGUGUCCUGGGUGUUCAAAAAUGUACAAAAACUACGCUACUUUAAGGUACCAUCGGAAAUACGAAUGUGGACAGUAUGCCAAGUUUAAAUGUUCCAAAUGUCAUUAUGUUGCUAAGAGAAAGUACCAUAUCAAAUUACAUUAUAUAAGGAAACACGUGAAUGGAGAAGGACACUCGUUUUGCGAGUUAGAUUUCUAUCAGCAUGAAGGACUUUAACAAAUAAAAAUUGACAAUAAUAAAUGAUUUAUUAAAUUUGAUUAAUUAACUAUGUUGAGUUUUACCGCAGCCUGCACCAGAGUUAUUAUAUGCUUCAAUUGUGAAAAUAGUGUUUGUUGGUUUCUAAACAUUAAAUUGUUUUAG